ACUGUGUGUUGUUGGGUAGGGGAGCGUUCUGUAAGCCUGUGAAGGUGUGUCGUGAGGCAUGCUGGAGGUAUCAGAAGUGCGAAUGCUGACAUAAGUAACGAUAAAGCGGGUGAAAAGCCCGCUCGCCGGAAGACCAAGGGUUCCUGUCCAACGUUAAUCGGGGCAGGGUGAGUCGACCCCUAAGGCGAGGCCGAAAGGCGUAGUCGAUGGGAAACGGGUUAAUAUUCCCGUACUUGGUGUUACUGCGAAGGGGGGACGGAGAAGGCUAUGUUGGCCGGGCGACGGUUGUCCCGGUUUAAGCGUGUAGGUGUGUGUUCCAGGUAAAUCCGGUUCACUUUAACACUGAGGCGUGACGACGAGGCACUACGGUGCUGAAGCAACAAAUGCCCUGCUUCCAGGAAAAGCCUCUAAGCAUCAGGUAACAUCAAAUCGUACCCCAAACCGACACAGGUGGUCAGG
rnacentral:rRNA from 1 species